GUCUGUGUUGCCGCCCUUGGGCACAGAGUAGUUAGUGCUGAAGAUUUCAGUCACUGGAUAGGCUGGUCUUAACUGGAGUUUUCUUAGUUAGGUCUGCCUAGUUUAAGGAACCCUGUCCUUGGUCUGGAGAAGUGAGCCCAAUAAAGUAUCAGUGUGGCUGUCGUCUGCCUUUCAGUGUUGUUCUCUAGCAAGCUGCCGCCACCACCAUGGCAUUUUCAUAUAAGAAGGACUUGAACAAAUACAAGGAGAUUGAUGAAGAUGAGAUCCUCAACAAACUAUCUGAAGAGGAACUCAGGCAGCUGGAAACAGCCCUUGAGGAGAUGGACCCUGAGAAUGCACUACUUCCAGCGGCCUGCGUCAAAAGGACCAAACAGGGAAGAAAGCGACAGAGCCGUUUGACAGGGAACGCCUCCUCAAAUACCUGGAGAAGGAAGCUAUGGAGUACAAGGACAGGGAUGAUAUAGUGCCGUUUACUGGGGAGAAAAAAGG